GAGGCUUUUCUCCCUUACCCUUGGGUGGUUUAAAACCUGGGGUUUUUGGCGGUUUGUGUGUGUCCUCAACAUCCUCACUUAAGAGGCGUCUGUGAGGAGGUUUUCCCCCAUGUGGUGGCUCCUUUCCCUUACCCUUUGAUGGUUUGUUUUCCGGUAAUGGCUUGUGUUCUGGUGGUUUCUCACCAGGGAAUGGCUUUUUGGGUGGUUCACCAUUUUGGAAUCUUGAUAGCUCAUGUUCACGUAGAGGCUUAUGGGGAGGCUUUUCUCCCUUACCCUUGGGUGGUUUGAAACCUGAGUUUUUUGGAGUUUUGUGUAUGUCCUCACCAUCCUCACCCAAAAGGUGUCUGUGAGGAGGUUUUUCUCCAUGUGGUGGCUCCUUUCCCUUACCUUUAGGUGGUUCCUCUCCGGGGUGUGUUGGUGGCUUGUGUUCUGGAGGGUGCUCACCAGGAAAAGG
rnacentral:lncRNA from 1 species